rnacentral:rRNA from 1 species
UACGAGGGGGGCAAAUGUUGUUCGGAAUCACUGGGCGUAAAGCGUACCGAUAGGUGGUUUUGUUAGUCUUGGGUAAAAGCCAGAAGCUCAACUUCUGCGUUUGCUCAAGAUACUGCAAGACUAGAGGAGUAAAGAGGUUGCUGGAACGAACGGUGUAGUAGUGAAAUGCGUUGAUAUCGUUCGGAACACCGAAAGCGAAGGCAGGCAACUGGGUACUACCUGACACUGCUAGGACGAAAGCGUGGGGAGCGAAUGGG